rnacentral:rRNA from 1 species
AUUGAACGCUGGCGGCAGGCCUAACACAUGCAAGUCGAGCGAGCGGCGGACGGGUGAGUAAUGUCUGGGAAACUGCCCGUUGGUGGGGGAUAACUACUGGAAACGGUAGCUAAUACCCCAUACCAUCAGAUGUGCCCAGGUGGGAUUAGCUAGGUGGUGGGGAAACGGCUCACCUAGGCGACGAUCCCUGGCUUGUAUGAGAGGAUGACCAGCCACACUGGAACGUAGACACGGUCCAGACUCCUACGGGAGGCAGCAGUGGGGAAUAUUGCACAAUGGGCGAAAGCCUGAUGCAGCCAUGCCGCGUGUGUGAAGAAGGCCUUCGGGUUGUAAAGCACUUUCGGCGGGGAGGCGUUACCCGCAGAAGAAGCACCGGCUAACUCCGUGCCAGCAGCCGCGGUAAGAC